rnacentral:rRNA from 1 species
UACGUAGGGUGCAAGCGUUGUCCGGAAUUAUUGGGCGUAAAGAGCUCGUAGGCGGCUUGUCGCGUCGACUGUGAAAACCCGCGGCUCAACCGUGUGGCUUGCAGUUGAUACGGGCAGGCUAGAGUUCGGUAGGGGAGACUGGAAUUCCUGGUGUAGCGGUGAAAUGCGCAGAUAUCAGGAGGAACACCGAUGGCGAAGGCAGGUCUCUGGGCCACUACUGACGCUGAGAAGCGAAAGCGUGGGGAGCGAACAGG